rnacentral:rRNA from 1 species
AUUGAACGCUGGCGGCAGGCUUAACACAUGCAAGUCGAGCGGGGGAAGGUAGCUUGCUACUGGACCUAGCGGCGGACGGGUGAGUAAUGCUUAGGAAUCUGCCUAUUAGUGGGGGACAACAUCUCGAAAGGGAUGCUAAUACCGCAUACGUCCUACGGGAGAAAGCAGGGGAUCUUCGGACCUUGCGCUAAUAGAUGAGCCUAAGUCGGAUUAGCUAGUUGGUGGGGUAAAGGCCUACCAAGGCGACGAUCUGUAGCGGGUCUGAGAGGAUGAUCCGCCACACUGGGACUGAGACACGGCCCAGACUCCUACGGGAGGCAGCAGUGGGGAAUAUUGGACAAUGGGGGGAACCCUGAUCCAGCCAUGCCGCGUGUGUGAAGAAGGCCUUAUGGUUGUAAAGCACUUUAAGCGAGGAGGAGGCUACUUUAGUUAAUACCUAGAGAUAGUGGACGUUACUCGCAGAAUAAGCACCGGCUAACUCUGUGCCAGCAGCCGCGGUAAUACAGAGGGUGCGAGCGUUAAUCGGAUUUACUGGGCGUAAAGCGUGCGUAGGCGGCUUAUUAAGUCGGAUGUGAAAUCCCCGAGCUUAACUUGGGAAUUGCAUUCGAUACUGGUGAGCUAGAGUAUGGGAGAGGAUGGUAGAAUUCCAGGUGUAGCGGUGAAAUGCGUAGAGAUCUGGAGGAAUACCGAUGGCGAAAGCAGCCAUCUGGCCUAAUACUGACGCUGAGGUACGAAAGCAUGGGGAGCAA